GCGGCGAUUCCUGUCCGAUAUCUAGUCGAUAUCUAGUCGAUUUCCAGCCAAUUCAUGGUAGUUGGAUGAUUCAGGGGAACGUUGACUGUGAGCUCGCCCCUGGCGCCGUGGCCUGUUUAAUUUUAGGGUAUUACGCGUGCAGGCGGCAGCCUGGUCGAGGCUAAAGGGUACCUCUGCCUCGGUAUUUGCCAAGAUAUUAUCGUGAAAAAGGGAAAGGAGAGAAGCAGUGGGUAACGAGGAGGGCGUGUCCGUUGGCUCGAGACGAGCCUCUAGGAUGCAUCCGACACUGUUUCGCGAAUUAGCCCCGUCUCGAAUCAUCGUGGCCCAUCGGGGAAAUCGUCGUGACUCGGGGUUGCUAAGCAAUACGUCGAAUGGGUAUCCUGUUCUUUGGAAUUGUGCGAAUCGGUUCAAUGCCUUUGCCAAUGAUGGUUCUCUGAACCAGUGUUUCUCAACUUGUGGAUCGUGAUUCUUAAAAAGAUCAGUAUUUUAUAAGUUACAGGAUAAAUUGAGGCACAAGUUAAAUAGAAAUGUAAAAUAUAUGUGGUGAUAAAAUACAGAAAUAGGUUUUGUAAAUAGAAGAGAAAUUUUAAACGAAAUACAUGCAUAAAAUAUGCAAGAUGACAGAGAAAGUGCAGCUAUCCUGAUGAAAAAUCAACUUCAGAUAGAAAAGGAACAAAAAUUUCUUCAAAUUAAAAAAAAAAAACGUUAAAAUAAUUGCGUAUAUACUACAACUAAAACAAAACAGAAAUCAUACCUGAGUUAUCGAGGCGCUGAUUUUUUAUCUACGGAUGAAAUCAUAUAAUACGAUUAUGAUAUUUGUAUACAUUUCUUUCUUGCUGCAAGCGAUUGAUAUUCGCCAAUCAUUUCUAUAGAUCAAUCUCUCGAAGUAAAAAGAACAAGCAACCUAUAAGGAAUAUUGACAGAAAUGAUUAUUGGCAAAUAACCGGAGGUAUAAUUAUAUAUCAGAGGAUGUACAUAUACUAUGAAACGUCGCACCGCUGAAAGUUCGGUAUAUUUAACAGUGGCCGCACGUAUGAGAUAUAAGUUUGAUAUCGCAGUUGCGUGCAGAAUCACCGAAUUAUAUCGACUUGCAGCGAUCGAAGUGUGAAGCGUGCCGACGAUCGUGCAUUGAAUAUAUAAUCGAUUUUUUGUGAGCCUUGAGAAACGACUAUCCUUUAAAAAUUCAACGAGUUUAUUCGAUUAUAUUUAUUCUAUCUAUUCGUUUAGAUAUUUAAAACUCGAAUUAAAUGAAAAUUAGAUAUAUAUAGUGUAUGAAUGUAUGCUGAAUAAUUACAAGUAUAAAACAAGUUUAACAAAAAAAGAAAAAAAU